AAGCAUCUAAAUAAUUUUCACUACCCUCGAAUCCCAUUCAGACCCUGUAAGAACUGUAAGAAAAUGAGGCUAGUAAAGAUUGUUUAUCCUCACUUUAUUCCACAUUCUUCAUCUUUGCUGUAACUCGAAGGUUUAAACCGUGUCACACAAAACCAACAGAGCAAUUAUUUUAUUUCCUUUUGUUACAGGAAGUGGCUGGCAGUUGGUCUGCAAAUCAAAGAGACAACACAAGAGUCAAAGAAUCGCCUUCACAUCGAACUGCCAAUGUGUCUCAGGUGGACCAUCCCCACUCAGCAGGCUAUAAAAUUAAACCAUCCUCUGUUCAGCCCAUUCAGUCGCAGCCCCCGUCAGCUCCUUCGAGGAAGCCGCAGAAUGGAUCACUGAAAGGCAUGCGCCCACCUUUUAAGCAAAACCAUUUCUCUCAGUACCAGCGUCAGUCCUCCAGCCCUGGGAAUUUCUGCUAUCCUGCCGCACCUAGAGUCAACAUGCGCUUCUGCAAUGUAGUUGGAUUACAACUUGGCGACAACAACACCAUGCACAUCUGCGCCACAGAUCCUCUAGAGCGGAAGAGGCACCCAACAGCACCAUCUACCGUUAACGUCCCUCCGCCACACUUGGGAGGCUGGGGGAACAUGGCUGGAGGAGUUGGCUGAGCGUAUUCUCUAAUCUUCCCUCUUUUUUUUUAGCUUCUCAAAUUUGAGAUCAUAUUUAAGGUUUUUUUUUUGGUUUUUUGCAUGUUUGUUUUUUAAAAUCUGUUGUAGUAGAUUUUUAUAUCUGGGCAGGUUUCCGAAAAAGCUUUUUGUUUUCUACUAUUUUCUGUAUUUAUUCUGUUUAUUUUGUUUGAGAUGCUGAAACCAGUGAAAAAAAAGAUCACACCUUUCUUUUGCACUGUCAGCAGUACAAUUAUGGGCCAAGUCUGGUCAUAUGGUUGAUGCUUUUUCAUCAACUGUGGUCAACAAAUAUCCAAAGCGGCGGUGCCAGGAGAUCAUCUUGAGCCAGAAAUCGCCUUAACGAUAGACUGACUAUUAAUCACAACAAGUCAAUAUGUGUUUUAAAACCAAACGCAGGAUUUGCAUUGAUGCAUCGGUCUCCAACUCCAGGCCUCAAGGGCCGGUGUCCUGCAGGUUUUAGAUGUGUCCUUGAUUCAACACAGCUGAUUUAAAUGGCUAAAUUACCUCCUCAACAUGUCUUGAAGUUCUGGUAAUGAACUAAUCAUUUGAUUCAGGUGUGUUGACCCAGGGUGAUAUCCAGCGUUGGGGAGUAACGGAAUACAUGUACCGCCGUUACUUAUGUUUGCUUACACAUGCUGAUUUGUUGGUGCGUUACGUGUAGCUGAGAUGUUAAAAAAUAAAAGAAGCUGCAUUAGUAAGGUUUGAAUAGCAGGUGGGUCAGAGAAGUGUGUCUGGGACCACAUUAGGAAUAUCCACUCUUAAAUAAUAGAGAGUGGAUUUUAAGUCGAAACUUUUCUCUUACAGUGAUAAACUGCAUGUACAGUGUCCUCAUUAUUUAAUUUUUUUUCUAUACACAUGCUUUUUCUUCAUUACAUUUUAAAAGUCACUUAUAUUAAAGUGUCAGCUUAACCUAAAUUUCAAUCAAGAAUUUUUGUUUUUUGUUUCUUGCUCAAGAAACACAUUUUUCACUGUGCUGAAGCGUGACGUAGCUUCAAUGAAGUGCUGGAACAAUGCUGUGUGAAAUAUUUAUUUGGUAUGGUUGUGUUGUAUGUGUGCAAUGUUCUCAUAUUAGGAUGGUUUUUAUUUGAACUGUGCCAUUUUUUUUAGCUGAAAUCAUCCUAAUGUGUAUCUGAUUUAUUUUAAAUGAUGGGUAGGUAAUGUCCCGAAACUGGACAUUUUAGAUAAUGGGACGCAAAAAACAUUUAUUGUUUUGAGUCCGACAUGUUGUAAUUUCAGAUUUUUAUCUCA
rnacentral:lncRNA from 1 species